GUUUUAAUAAUUUAAGUAAAAUAUUGGUCUUGUAAACCAACAAUAAGAUAAUUCUUUUAAAACU
rnacentral:tRNA from 1 species